CAGGAGGAUGCCUGGACCUGGGUUGAUCGACAUCUCCAUCAGUACCCUUCUCAACCCCAGCAGCACAGUUUCGCCAGGUCCAGGCAGCAUGGCUUGCCUGCGCCCGUCCCAAACUCAUUUUGGGAAGCAUUGACUCUCCCGUGCUGUCAGGGCUGAAAUGAACAUGUUUGAAGGAAAGCAGCACCAAGAAGACGGAAUGCAUAGGCAGCUAUUAGAAAAGCACUGUUAGUGCCCAAGUCAGGAAAUGCAGCUGUUAAAUCCCGAGCCAUACUGGAGCAGAGGUAUUUCAGAUGAAGCUGCCUUACAUCCCUUAACCCUUCCUCCUCUGGGAGAGAUGGAAAUUCUACUGGGAAGCCCUGGCAGGGCUUAGCACUGUCAGCACAUGAGCUCCCUGGCUGCCACCUCCUUAUUGGGCUGGAGGCACACUGAGGCUGGCAGCUGGCAAAAAAAAAAAAAAAAAAGAAGAAAAAAACAAACCACAGGAAUCCCACUCCUGAGGAAUCUGGUCAUUUCAAGGUUCCCCUAUAGAUUCACAGGUUUUAAAGGCCGGGAGGGACAAUUACAUUCUGACAAGUACAUUCUGGUGCAACACAGUCCAUUGAAUUUCUCUGAGUGUUGCUGGUGCUCAGGCAGAUGAAAUGAGUUUGUACUCCUUAGUGUGCUCUCCUUAGCUCGUCUCUCAGACAUCCCCCCUUACCGCUUAUUGUCUCCUAUUCAACACAGCAUGUGUGCAUGGGUGUGUUCUCAGGUUUUCCUGAAGCAGCACCCCAACAGCAGCACACAUCUCCUGCAGCUGCCCCUGUUCCAUGCCCAGAGGUGUCUACAACUCUGAGUAUCCCAACUAUCACAGCUGAGGGAUCCCAUAGUGAGGGAUGUGGUGCUCCCCAAACUGUUUUCAUUGCAGCUUGCCUUGUGUUACAGUGCAGGGAGCAGUCAGAGCGCAGGAAUCCUCCCCUAAGCCUGGAGAUGGCAGAGCAGAAACAAUGCCUAAAGGAGGGCUGACGCUUGCUGUACAACUGACCUGAAGUGCAUAACUUGUUGGAAGUCAAUAUGCAACAAGUGAGGAUCUGCACCCCUACCAAUUGGAAAGUGCCAGAGCACCUCCAGUUUUACCUGAAAUCUUCAAAUGUGUGUUGUCACCAUAUCAGAGCCUCACCUCUCAGCCAAGCAGCUGUUAUUCCUUUUUUUGGUCUGUUUAUUUACUUGCCUACUCGUUUAGAGCAAAUGUCUUCUAGCUGUUCUAGCUGGGCAGCAAAGCUUGAAGACUCAGGGAGCAAAUAAAAGGAACUCCAACUCUAUUAUU
rnacentral:lncRNA from 7 species